UGAAAUAAAUUGUUUUGUUAAAAAGUAUAAAUAGUAUUGAAUUUUUUUUGGGAAAGUACUGAAAAGGGUUAAAUAUUAUUUUAGAUUAAGUAGAAAUUAAAUUUUGUAUCUUUUGUAUAAUAGAUUAAUUAUAUUUAUAUUUAUAUUAAGUUUAUCUCGAAGUAAAAAGAUUUAUUUAUUUUAAUAAAUUAUUGUAAACGUUGUAAAGUUUUGAUAUUAAAAAUGAAUGGUAGUGAUAUGCUAAACGAGUUUUAUGAUAGCUAGUUUAUUAUUUAUGUAAGUAUAUAAGUACUACAUACAUAUAUAUACAUAUAUGUAUAUAUGUAUGUUAAUAUUAAUAGGGGAAAAGCUCUAAAAUAAUUAUAAGAAAUUGAUUUAAAUAAUUAAGUUGAUUGAAAUUGGAUUAAUUUAGUUUAAUUUUUAAAAGUUAUUUAAAUGUAAAAUAGAUUAUGUUUCUUAAGUUAUAAGGUAAUAAAUAUUUUUUAAUUAAAUAAGAAUAUAUAUAAUGUUAAUAUGAGUAUUAUAAUUUGAUAUAUUGAUUUAAUAUUAUUUAAGUGAAAAAUCUAAUAAUAUGGUGUUAAGAAAAUAAAUUAAAGGAAUUCGGCAAAUGUUAAUUUCGCCUGUUUAUCAAAAACAUGUCUCUUUGUUUUAAUAUAAUAUAGAGAGUCGGGCCUGCUCGGUGAUAAAUAUUUAACAGCUGCGGUAUUUUAACUGUACUAAGGUAGCAUAAUAAUUUGCCUUAUAAAUUGAGGCUAGAAUGAAUGGUUUGACGAAAGCUAAUCUGUCUCUAAUUUAUUUUUUAGAAAUUAAUUUUUAAAGUGAAAAAGCUUGGAUAAUUUAAAGGGACGAGAAGACCCUAUUGAGCUUUAAGUUAAUUAAAUUUAUAAUAUAACUAUUUAUAAAUUAUUGAUUUUUGAUUGGGGUGAUCAAGGAAUAAUUUUAAUAACUUCCUUAAGGUUUAAAAUUGUUAAAUGAAAUAACCAAUAUUAAUAUUGCUUAAAUAAAAGUUACCAUAGGGAUAACAGCGUAAUUUACUUAAAGAGUUCAUAUUAAAAAGUAAGAUUGCGACCUCGAUGUUGGAUUAAAAUAACCAUAAGGUGCAGUAGUUUUAUAUGGUAAAUCUGUUCGAUUUUUAAAAUUUUACAUGAUCUGAGUUCAGACCGGUGUGAGCCAGGUUGGUUUUUAUCUUUUAGAUUUAAUAAAUAGUAAUUAUCCUUAGUACGAAAGGAUUGGGUAUAAUAAUUAAAAUUUUUAUUAAGUAAGUAAAUU
rnacentral:rRNA from 1 species